CUCCCGGAUCCCUCUGGCCCCCGCCCCCCUCGCUACACCCCCUCCCCUUCGGCUUCCACACUUAAGCACCGACUCGAACUUCUCUCCCAAACUUUUGUCUGCCCGGCCGGAUCUACUUUCGUAGAAGGGCGGAGCGCGGUGCGUCCGUAGGAAGGGAAAGGGGUGGGGGUGUCGGCGCAGGAAUCUUUGGUUCACGCUUUCUGAGAGGAGGAAGACGGGCUAAGUCUCUCUCAGGCACGUAGUGAAGGCUUUGAUGGAGGGUCGGGAGAGAUGGCCCAGUUAAUGAGUCGUUAGGGCACCUCCUUAGACGCGGUCGAGGAAAGAGUGGACGGGGCCAGCGGAAGGACUCUUUGUCUGCAGUUGGAAUGUGCGGCGGAGGGGCACGCUGGAAGCCAAGGAUAAGCGGGGAAAGCGACUCGAGAGAGAGGCACGUCCUGCGCAAACACGGUCACUUUGUUCCUAGAGGGCGCUGUUCUUCUGCUCCAAAGUGCCUCAUGAUACUGGAUCGGUUAGCAAAAAGCUACACAGGAUCAUGGGACAGAAGUUAGAAUGGAAGACAAGAACGCCCUUAAAGGGGUUCAGGGAGUUUCGGUACUCACGUCUUUUGGUGAGGAAGUAGGCUACACAAGCCCCUACAAUGAGAGAAGAGAAGUUCCUGAAGGUCUCUGAGGCAGAAUAGACACAAGAUCCUUUAGAGGCUGUAUUCCUCAAGUGGCCAAAGUUUAAGGAGAAUCGUUAAAGUUCAGCCCACUCACAGAGAGCACCAGAUCCCGCUUGCGCCUAGAAUUCUUCUGCCCCCCGCCCCUGGC